rnacentral:rRNA from 1 species
GACGUAGGGGGCAGCGUUGCUCGGAAUUACUGGGCGUAAAGGGUUCGUAGGCGGUGCGGUAAGUCGGAAGUGAAAUCUCUGGGCUUAACUCAGAGGCUGCUUUCGAAACUGCCGUGCUGGAGUGCGGGAGAGGCGAGUGGAAUUGCAGGUGUAGCGGUGAAAUGCGUAGAUGUCUGCAGGAACACCCGUGGCGAAGGCGGCUCGCUGGACCGCAACUGACGCUGAGGAACGAAAGCUAGGGGAGC